rnacentral:misc_RNA from 1 species
UUUCCGUAGGUGGACCUGCGUAAGGAUCAUUCAUAAUAAGUGUUUUAUGGCACUUUUUUAAAUCCAUAUCCACCUUGUGUGCAAUGUCAGGGUUGAUUUUUCUCUCGAGAGGAUCAACCCCAAACAUCAACUAUAUCUCAACUCUUUGUCUGAAAAAUAUUAUGAAUAAAACAAUUCAAAAUACAACUUUCAACAACGGAUCUCUUGGCUCUC